GGCGAGGAUGACCAGGACCAGGCGCCAGAUGAUGCACCCUACGCACAAAUAAUCUUGACUGAAAGCCGUAACAUCUGGGCGUCUCUCGCCUUGUUGUUGAAGUCUUCUAUCUGCAUCGUCAACAUCCUGUGCUCCCACUGCUGCCUGAUGAUCCCCUUACGGAAAUCUUUAUACUCCACCAUGGAGGCAAUCUUCUGAUCUCCCUGUGUCUGUUCAUAAAUAAAUCCAUUUGACACACACAA